UGCAUGAAAAGAAAACCAACCUCAAUUCCCUUGCUUCUGCGCGCGCUAGGUUUUCCUCUAAAAUCUAAGUUCGUCGUGUUAAAACAUCGAUCUCUGCCGACUUGAUCCAAAAAAAAGAUGAAGCAAUCGGGUUCAAAGACGAGCCCCAGCCACCAUCCCCCAAACUUCACAAGGCUGGUAAGCCAACCGGAAGAGCUCCCAAAUUACAUGAGUCGACCAUUAGCGCUGACGCAAGAAGAGAACGAUCCAAGGUUCGUACAACGAGGCAGACUCCUCGAGCAAGCCCUGAUCAUUCAAGUUUGCACACAACAAGGUUUUUCUCAACCUCUAGGCAAGAAUCAACAUUGGUAAAAAAAAGUACUACCUUAGAUGUCUUGUGUGGAAGUUUAGAAGUAGCGCGAGCAACGUGUUCCUCGACUUUGAAAGGUAGCAAGUUUCCUGAUUAUCCUGGAGGAGCAGGAUUGCAGGGGACCUCGGGUUUGAAGGUUUGCCCGUGCAGUUACUGCUCUUUAAAUGGGCGUCUUCGCGCACUUGUUCCCCCUUUGAAGUGCUUCGUACCAGCAAGAAGACGCGAGCUCAGAGCUAUCAAGAUGAAAUGUCAAACGCCUAAUGCAACACCAACAUCUACUGGAGCCAAGUGCAAAGCAAGCCAUCAAACACGAUAAGGGCACGAAGGAUUCGAGAAACGAGCCUUAUACAGGGGAUACAGAGUUGAAUUGCAUUGAAGACGAAUGCAGCAUAGUUCAUGAAAACAAGGCAACACCAGAAACUGAAGAUGCAAGAUCAACACGAGCUACAGUAAAAAGCGAGAAGUCUAAUCAGGAAUCUGAGGGGACUACAUCUUCAAGGAGCAGAAAAGGUUAGCCUGAGGUAUCAAGAACUGGAGGCAAGGAAAAACUCGGAGGAAUGGAUGGUGGACUAUGCAAUCAGAGAAGCGGUCGCAAAAGGCGGUACACGUAACCAGAGAAAUGUCAUGUUGCUAGUAGAAGCGUUCGAGAGAGUACUGCCAAAAAGCAAACAUUAACUACGCUACCAAAUAAGUGCACCUGAUACAUUCAUGUCUGUGUAGAUGAACUUAGCAGGAGAUAUACUUCUUAAUCCAGGAUAAUGUAAAAACACACACCUACUGUUUCGGAAAGGCAACCGAAGAAAAAAAUGAUCCAACGACACUUCCCUUUCUACGUUAAACAAUACUUUAAGGCUGCGUUUGGAAUUCAAAUCCUAUGUUUGGUAAAAUGAAGUAAUUGAUAUGGAA